UUAAGCCAUGCAUGUCUAAGUACAAGCCGUGUAGACGGCGAGACUGCGGACGGCUCAUUAAAUCGGUUAUGACUCCACUGGGGAGACUCACCCGUGGAUAACGUGCGGUAACUCCGGUGCUAAUACAUGCGACGAGGCUCCGACUUCUGGGAAGGGCGCACUUAUUAGGCGAAAACCAGGGCCUCGGACGACACCCGAGUAAUUGCCGCCGAUCGCACGGCCUGAGCCGGCGACGCCUACACUGAGUUUCUGAUCUAUCAUGCUGACGACGGUUGGUGCUAUGCCAACCGUGGCGUUAACGGAUAACAGAGAAUCUGGGUUCGAUUCCGGAGAGGGAGCACGAGAAACUUGGGCUCCAUCCAUGAGGCAGCAGGCACGCAAUUACCCAAUGACCGAACGGCGAGGUAGUGACGAAAAAUAACGAUACAGGACUCAUCCGAGGCCCUCUAAUUGGAAUGAGUACACUUUAAAACCGUCCCCGAGGAUCUAUUGGAGGGCAAGUCUGGUGCCAGCAGCCGCGGUAAUUCCAGCUCCAAUAGCGUAUAUUAAAGUUGUUGUGGUUAAAAAGCUCGUAGUUGGAUCUCAACAGCCUUGAAGCGGUUAACUUUGUAGUUUUACUGCUUUUAGGCUGUGUUUGCUGGAGUUUAGGGGUGCUCUUGAUCGAGUGUCUCUGGCCAAGGUUUACUUUGAAAAAAUUAAAGUGCUCAAAGCAGGCAGCCUGAAUAUUCGUGGAUGGAAUAAUAAAAUAGGAUGUCCAUCCUAUUUUGUUGGUUUUCGGGACGACAUAAUGAUAAAUAAGGACAGUCGGGGGCAUUUGUAUUCAAACGACAGAAGUGAAAUUCUUGGACCGUUUGAAGACAAACUACUGCGAAAGCAUUUGCCAAGAAUGUUUUCAUUAAUCAAGAACGAAAGUCAGAGGUGCGAAGGCGAUCAGAUACCGCCGUAGUUCUGACCGUAAACGUUGCCAACUGGCAAUUGGGCGCACUUCUACAGAAGUUGCCGCCAGCAGUACCCGGGAAACCAAAGUCAUUGGGUUCCGGGGGGAGUAUGGUUGCAAAGCUGAAACUUAAAGGAAUUGACGGAAGGGCACCACCAGGAGUGGAGCCUGCGGCUUAAUUUGACUCAACACGGGAAACCUCACCCGGCCCGAACACUGUUAUGACAGACAGGUUGAGAGCUGUUUCUCGAUUCAGUGGUUGGUGGUGCAUGGCCGUUCUUAGUUCGUGGAGCGAUCUGUCUGGUUAAUUCCGAUAACGAACGAGACUCUUGCCUGCUAAAUAGACGGGCCGACUACGGACGGCGACCGCUUCUUAGAGGGACAAGCGGCUUUUAGCCGCGUGAAGCAGAGCAAUAACAGGUCUGUGAUGCCCUCAGAUGUUCGGGGCCGCACGCGCGCUACACUGUUUGCAUCAGCGUGUUCUCCCGCGCCGGCCGGCGUGGGCAACCGUUGAACCGCAAACGUGCUAGGGAUCGGAGAUUGCAAUUGUUCUCCGUGAACGAGGAAUUCCUUGUACUGGCGAGUCAUCAGCUCGCGGGGAAUCUGUCCCUGCCCUUUGUACACACCGCCGUCGCUACUACCGAUUGAGUGGUUUAGUGAGGCUCACGGACUGCGCACACGGCGUGGGCUCGCGAGGCGGAAAGUGAGAACUUGAUCACUUCUAGGAAGUAAAAGUCGUAA
rnacentral:rRNA from 1 species